rnacentral:lncRNA from 1 species
UGAAAAUGAAAUGUUUCAUGGUUCAAUGUUACAAAAUGCUCAGCUUUUCUUCUCUGCAUCUUUCUUAUUGUUCCUCUUCUCUGCUUCUUCCUCCACCAUAUUUUAUACAGUUCAGUAAUCUCUGUCCUACUCCGAGUUUGUUUAUCUGUCACCGUGAAUCCAAUCGCAAAUAUUAUGGUCCUAUUUUUGUGGUGAUUUUUCAGAUCUGUACAUUUUCUUGUUGCUGUGAUUUUUUAGAUUUCAACUUUGAGCAAGAAAAAUUGGUGAAGAUGAUGAAGAUCCUUUGAAGAAGAGAUGAAGAAAACAUGUAAUAUUAAAUUGUCAAUUUAAUAUCUCAAUAAUAUUGGUUUUUCUUGGGACAAAUCUUAAUCGGGUUUAAAUGAAUGAGAUUCAAUUGAAAAUGGCAGCUUCUUUACAAAAAUUAUUCAGAUAGCAGGGCGAUGAUAACAAUAAUGCAUUAACCUUUGAUCAGAAAGAACAAGUAAAAAAAU